rnacentral:piRNA from 1 species
UGUUUAAUUGACUUUAAAUUU